GCUGAAGCAAGUGCCAUUUGCAGAGCUUUGGUCUCAUCAGACGAGCUUACUCUUACCAGCUUUCUGCUGAGAUCCCUCUGAUCGAGUGAACGGCUGUGCAAUUGAUGAAAGCAGUGCGGUGACAUUGUCACGAUCACGACGAAUGGCUCGAGGACACAUCCAAGGCCGUUAGCUGAAGGGUCAUUGAGUUCAGGCGGUGUUGUGAGGAACGUCCCGCUGGGUUGCGUGUCCAUGCUGGCUCUGCAAGCCACUUCAGCUAUGCAGCCUGGGCGAGAUGGUCCAGGCAGUGUGCCAGGCGAGGGUGGUUCAGGCCUUGGCACAGGAUGCACUUCCACCACAACGAUGGGAAGAGAUGAUUAGCAGCUACUAAACGUACAGACCAUGCAGUCACUCAGCUCAGCCAAGAACAGUGGGAAAAUUCACACACUUUCUCACUCUUUCCGAUGAUCUUUCUCUUCUAGGCCGGAGAAGAAAGUGCCAAAGAUGACAAGACAACAGUUGUCUUUGGUUCCCAAGGCUAUGCUGGACUGUGUAUUAGACGGUUUACUGUUUUUCCUUGUUUUCACUCUCAACUUUUUUGCCUCCUACCAUUUGUUUGUGUGGAGAAAAUGUUGAGAAAUGGAUUGGGAAUCAAGGAGUUCUUAUUCAGAACUGAUUUAUUUGUUUAACUCUUCUGCUGUGCUGAAAAUCCUUUACUUAAUUUGGUGUUCUCUGUCAAAAAUGACCGGCUUUUUUUCCUUGUAAAUCUCUUGCUAUGCUAUAUUUUCACCAAAUCAUGGUUUCAAUUAUUUUGUCAACUUGUUUCAUUUCAAUUGGCACAUGUUUUGGAACUGAUUGGUUAUAGGGCUUUUUAACCUGAGCUUAUGCACAGCAGUUUUUGAGUGAAAUAAGAAGCAUUAUUUGCAGAUAAUUUUGGCAAAGCUCACUGAAAAACUGAGGUGCAUAAGCUCAGAUCAAUGAGGACUACAAUCAAUCAGUUCCUAAAAGAAAUACAAACCAGUGCUAACUGAAAGAAAACAAGUUGAUAAAAAGAUUGUAAUCCUCUACAGGUCAAAAUGACCGGAACACAAUAUGAUGGUUUCUAUAUAUAUGUAGACUUGUGAGACUGAAAUCAGUGCAAUUGGAACCAGAUUCCUCACAUUUCUUAUGAUUCUCAUCCUUAAGGAACUACCUUUACUGCUGAUGAAGCCUCAUCCCUCAGGUUACUGGGACAGGAACAUGUCUGUAAAACUUUGAAAUAUUGUUGUACCCAUCCUUGUAUAUGUAAUCUAUAAAAAUAAACUACAGGAAAC